UUCCUUCCUUCCUUCCAUGAACAGCUGUUGAGUGCCCUCUAUGUACCAGACACGGUGCAGAUACAAAAUAAUUUACCACAUAGUCCCCACCAUUCUGCAGCGACUGAACACUUCUUGGUCUAGAGGAUUUGGAAGCCAGGAGUGGUUAGAGUGAGAAAAAGGAAAAGCAAACCAAAGAAUUUCUGCUUCUAACACAAAUCUCUAGCCAUCAGGGGCCAUCAGGAAGCUGUGGACUGUGGAGGGGACCCAGGAGGGCUGGGGAGAUUGCCCGGAGUCCUGCAGGGGCACAGGAGGGUGGGAGAGGGGUGAGAACUAGAGCCUUGCAUCCAGACCUGCUUUGCCCUGUCUGGUCCAGGAGGUGGGUUCAUGGGUUGGAGUCUGCACCACACGGGGUCUGGAUUAGCACACAGUCCCUAGGCCACCACCCUGGGGCUUGCCUCUUGGCAUCACCUUAAAGAUGGCCCUGGGACAGAAGCGUGGGCCCAGUUUGAGCCUGAAUGAUAUCACAAGUGUGUAGUUUCUCUGUGGGGCCCCUCCACCUGACUUCAGGCCACUGUCCCUCUCACGGCCACUCAGGGCUGCCGGAGUCCCUUGCUGUUCCUCUCUGGAAAAUGAGAUGACCACCUCAGGCCUACUUGCUUCUCAGCCCUUCCUACCCCAGUGAGCCACGCUUGCCGCCCCAUGUGUCUAUGGUUGUGGAAGUCUGCCUGGUAAAGGAAUUCCUGACAAGGUGCAUGGUGGCCCAUAGCUUCACAGUCACCCUCCUGGCAUGUUAACUGGGGUUUAAAGCCUUAGGGUACAGGACUGCUGAUGGGCCUGUCAGGCAGGGCUGCAGGAGGCUGGGAGCAAAAAAUUUUGGGACCAAAGGCUGUAAGGCCGCAAACAGAUGCCUGCUGUAGCAGCUGCGAUGGUGGUGGUCAUCGCUGAUGUGAUUGGUGGCCAUUUGAACUGUCCCAUGCAGGGACUGCUUCCUCAGAGCUCAUGUGUCCAAAAGAGGCUGGGUGGCCCUCCUUCAAGAUGCCCACUUGGGAGGUUGAGCUCAGUGUCCUCUGAGGUCCCUCGCACCCCAAGGAGCUGCGCUGUGGGUCCAGGUCAGCAUUAAGAAUGAGAUUUAAAGCGCACUCGGCUUCCCCGCCAAGCCCAGGUGCAUCCUUCCGCCCAUCUCAGCCUUUCUCAGCAGCGGGUGGGGAACCUGCAUUCCUUGGCCAGUGAAUCCUCCCCUUCUGGGCCUCACAGAUCAUGACUUUGAGGAUUUGGAGCCCCAUUUGGAAGCCCCAGUAGUGCAGAGGCCCAUGUCAGAGGCCGCCCAGCAGAGAGACGGGCAGGAGGCGUGUAAGGACUCUGGGGAGUUCAGUUCUGACUCUGGCUGCAGCCGGAGAUAAUGCACGUUAAGCACCUGGCUCUGGGCCACGUUUCCGCAGCUCCUGUUUUUAAAGCAGCAACUCCUGGGAACUUCUGAGGAGGAGGAGGGAAAAGAGGAAGACAAGGAGGAGGCAGAACUGUUUUUCUACACCUGGGCUGGAUGGGCCACCCUAGACCUAUGGAAUAGGAAAGCACUGAUUUUGCACAAACCAGGGCGUUGUCUUCUAAUAAUUUUAAGCCAUCAAGUAGUAUAAUAAUAACCACAACAACAGCUACUCAAACUGAUAGCAUAUUUUGAGCCCUGGCAAUAAACGGCCAGUAAGUUCCUGCCCUCAAGUUGCUCAAAGGCCCUGGUUUUGCGUGGGAGACAAGAUGAACCAGAAUGUGCUGAAUUGAGGGCUGUACCAGAGGCCUGGCCAGCAAAUGAGAUGCCCUGGGCGGUGUGCCUGCAGCUGUGUGUGCCGGUGCGGGGAAGCCUGGGUCUGCGGGGCUGAGAGGUUUGCUCCUGGCCCUGUGGGUGAUCUGAAGCCAGAGGUGGCAAUUAAGCCAGUGCAGCUUCGUGAGAUCUGUGUCCUCCCUCUUUUUCUUGCUGCUUUCUGGGGACAGGGGACGGGUCCUAGUAUGGCCUGGCUCCUCUUUGGAAGAAUGUCUUGGGUGCAGACCCCUCUAGCUUCGGUGCCAGGGACAAGAUGACAGGCAUAUUGGAUUUUGUCAGGUGAGGGGGAUUUGGUGUGAGCUGAGGGUGUGUAGGAGGGGCCCCCUUCUGUCUGGACAGCUGAGCCCAGGCCUCGGACAGGAUCCCUGGACGCCAGCCCCUUCUGUGGACUGUGGGAGGCGGAGUCUCCAGAGCCACACCCUGCCUGGAUUCAGUCCCACCUACGGCCCUGAGGGUGCCCACCAAGGGGCACUGUCCUAGCUUUGUUCCUACUUCCCAUGUACAUUGUCAGCCCUGCUAAGGCCUUGUCUCUGAAAAGUGAGGAGCUGUCAUAAGUGAUUUCUAAGGCCCUUGCCAAGCCCACCUCAAUCCUCUUUCUGCUUUAAUGACUGACCCCCAUGUUACUUCUCAGGGCUUUUCACAGAGAUUUGAAAGUCACUCCUAGAGACUACUGGGGCCCCAGGGCAGUUUGCCCUGAGACUACUGGCGACAUCUGAUGUUCGGAGAGUAUGGAUCGUGUGCCAGGCAUGUGCUUGGCACUUCCCGGAUAUCACCUCGUGGGCUCCUCUCACUAGCCUUUGAAGUGGGGGACUGGUGUUACUCUGAUGCACAGCUCAUGAGUCCGGGGCUCCCUGAACCCAAGGAACUUGCCUGAGAUCACGUAACCACUAAGAGGGGUGUGUGCCCCCAGCUCCUACCGCUUCCCUGUCAUGCUUCUCACAUGGGAGUGGGGUUGGGGGGAGGUUGGUGGCUCACAUCUCCAACCCCCUCAGCCCAGUUAUUAAGUUAAAUACCAUCUGCUUUCAAAGCCCAAGGAGGCCAUCUAUGCUGGGGAAAAGGGGGGUGGGUGGGAAACCACCAUCAAAUUCCCAACUAGCCAUAAAAAUGGAUGCAAUUUAUUUUUUCUGGCAUUCCAAUUACAUAGACGUUUGUCGCCAGCUGUUUGUUCUAACACGGAGUGUUCUCUCAGCUGCUGUUUCUCUUCUCCCAUUUGACAUUGUUAGGCCACAAGUCUGGCCGGGCCUGGGCUGGAGGGGUCAUUGGCUGGGGAGCCUCCCAGGUGAGCUGAGCUGGCUUUCCCGGAACAUGGACCGUGCCUCUGAUGUUCCCGGGGUGGUCUCGAGGUGAGGCGGGGGAAAGCCUGGGGUGCUGCUUCCUACCUCUUUUCACACUUUCUGCCCCUUUCCUCCUCGUCUCUCUUUUUCCAAAUUACUCCCCACCCUCAACAUGUGCUCCCAGGCCCCACCCUUCUCCCCAGCACACUGGGAAUGGAUGAAAACUUGGGGUCUCUGACUUAGGGAGAAAAACCAGCUGUUCCUGCUCAGAAAGUCUCUGAGACAUGGGAAGUCCCCUCUGACGCCCUAACUGACAACCCUAGGGAAUGCAGAGAACCCCGGAGCACCUCUGAGCCAGGUUCCUCUCUGGAAGCCCCUGUGGAGGCUCAGUGGCCCUUGGGACGCUGGAGAAGGGGUGUCUGUGUAGGGUGGGGGCUAACCCCAGAGAACGCUGUAGUUCUUUUUGGUGCUCUGUAGUGCUACCAUUUUCUGGUGCUCUGUAGUUCUACCAGGAACGCACACUAUGGCGGCCCUCAGCAAAACUGUGAAGUAGGCAAAGUGCAGAUCUUUGGGGCCAGAGACCUGGGUUUGAGUCCUGGCACUGUCACUUCUCGCUCUGUGGCCUUGGGCAUGUUACUUGACCUCCCUGAUCCCCAGUCUUCUCAUCUGUAAAGUGAGAGCACACAAAUCUGCCUUGCUGCCUUGCUGAAAGGAUUAAACAAGACCCCAUAAGAGAAAGGGCUGGUGUGUUCUCACUGAGUGCCAGAGAGGAAAUCUCAUGAAUUCAUAGCUACAAGGUAACAACUUAACUGGAACCCCAGGAAGGAACAGCUCAGAAAAGGGCAGUGCCAGGGUGGGUGAAUGACUGACCAGCCAAAAGGCAGAUGGGGAAGGACCAGCCUUUCUGAGUGACAGAUUCCUUCCUCUCUAGCACUUCAGCCCAAACCCCUGGUUCUGCACCCUUAGCAUGGGGUGCAGCCUGCAGCCCAUCCAGAAAUCCUCGGAUUUCAAAGUGCAGGGAGUCAUACCAAGAAACGUGCAUAACAUGUGGUCGUACAAUAAUGCUAAUCAGCAGUGCAGCAGAUCACCACCACCAAGCACAUCAACCAUGUGGUGAGUGCCAUCGUGUCCCCUUAUGGGCACCCCACUCACAUGAUCUCUACCCCGUGUUAUACUAACCCCAAAGCUGGGACCACUUCCCUCAUUGCACAGAUGGAAGACUGAGGCCAGGAGAAGGGCGUAACUUGCCUGGGGCCACAUGACCAGGAAGUGACGGAGCUCAGUUUCCAGCCUGUUUUAUCUCUUUGGUUCUGAGUUCUGAGCUCUUCAGUUCUUGAGGCCAGCCCGCUGCCUGAAGCUCGCACACUGCCCAGCACAGUGGCCUGUGCCCAGGAGGCCCCCAGCAAGUGCCCGGUGCCAUGCCUUGCCCGGAGCGACAGCUCUUAUGAGUGACUGGCUGCGGGCGAGACCAAGGCCACCACUGUGGGCCUUCCUUCCAGUCAGGCCUGAGGACAAGGUGAGCUCGCUGAGUCCAGCCUCGUGGUCUUCUCCAAGAUGCCGCCAGACGCCCGGCCUACAGCCUCUCAGGGUCGGAUCGGAGCACGUCUGCCUCCCUCUCCCCUCCGCCCUCACCCAGCCACUCCGAGGCUGCUUCGCACUUUGCCCUCUGCCUGGUGGGGAGGGGAGAGCUCAGUCCCCCACUCACUCAGAGCCCAAGGCCCACUGUCCAGCUGCAGAAAUUCGUUGCCAAAGAUUCGACAGAGACACUGAAGGAAAUGGGGUGAUGAAACCCCACAGCGAAAAGCCACACCGUUGCUCUGUGACUUUUGCUCCUCCUGUUGCCUGAGCCCCAUCUCAAGCCGAAGAUGAGUAAGCGGUUCUGCCAGGAGCUCAUGGAAGGGAUGGGCAUUUGAUGAGCCCUGGGGCACCGGGCCCUCUGACCUGGUGCUCUCUCUCCACCAGGCCUUGCACUGACUGAGUGCAAGACAAGUCUUAGGGGCUGUGAGAGGGAGGCUGGGGUGCCUGGGCAGGGCCAGGAGUGGGGCCUGAGUUCCCCGCCCACUGUUUCCCCUUCAUUGGCUGCCCAGGCCGCCGGCCCCAGUUCUCAGUGUCCCCUGGGUCCAGGCUCCUUGGGCCCUGAGCAUCACCAGAAGGGAGUAAGCAGGGAGAGAAGCAAUACUACUCCCUUCCCUACACCAGGGACUUGCACCAGGGCAGCUACCUACGGGUCUUUGCUCCCCUAGCCAGCCUUCCCUCACCGUGACCCAUCCCAGGCAGCCAGCACCAUGAGCGGGCCCUGCCAUGGACAGGAAGAGUUUUUCUCUUGUUUACCCUGCCCGUGGCCUGAGGAAGGAGUAGAGGCUGGGUUGGCUGGAGCCGUCCUACUGGGCAAGAUGGAGCCCCACUUGGAGGACGGUGGUCUGUCACAGGGUGUGCAGGGGCAGAGGAGGAAGGGACCAGGGGACUGGGCCAGUAUGUGGACGAUGGGAGCAGGGGGGCGUGUUCAAAGCCAAGGCCUGCCCCUUCCUUGUGCUCAAAUGGCCAAAGCUGUUCACGUCUGUGCUCAACCAUCUGCUUCAAAUUGAAGUAAAAGCCCUAAGAUGUCAAGAAAA